rnacentral:rRNA from 1 species
CGCUAACAUGCAGUCUACCAGAACGAGGUAGCAAUAUCUCUAUUAAAGUGGCGCACGGGUGCGUAACACGUAAGCAAUCUACCUUUGGGUCUGGAAUAACUUCGAGAAAUCGGGGCUAAUACCGGAUAAUGCAGCGGCACCGCAUGGUGAUGUUGUUAAAGUUUAAGUAAUGCCUUUAGAUGAGCUUGCGUCUGAUUAGCUAGUUGGUAGAGUAAUAGCCUACCAAGGCAACGAUCAGUAGCUGGUCUGAGAGGAUGAUCAGCCACACUGGAACUGAGACACGGUCCAGACUCCUACGGGAGGCAGCAGUGAGGAAUAUUGGGCAAUGCCCGCAAGGGUGACCCAGCAACGCCGCGUGGAGGAUGAAGGCCGUAAGGUUGUAAACUCCUGUUAGAGGAGAAGAAUAGUACCGAUUGGAUCGGUAUUUGACUGUACCCUCAGAGAAAGCCCCGGCUAACUACGUGCCAGCAGCC